rnacentral:rRNA from 1 species
GACGGAGGAUGCAAGUGUUAUCCGGAAUCACUGGGCGUAAAGCGUCUGUAGGUGGUCAAAUAAGUCAACUGUUAAAUCUUGAGGCUCAACCUCAAAAUCGCAGUCGAAACUAUUAGACUAGAGUAUAGUAGGGGUAAAGGGAAUUUCCAGUGGAGCGGUGAAAUGCGUAGAUAUCAAGUGGAACACCAGUGGCGAAGGCGAAUCCCUGGAAAAUACCUGACACUGAGGCACGAAAGCUAGGGGAGCAAACAGG